AUUGAACGCUGGCGGCAGGCCUAACACAUGCAAGUCGAACGAGGGGCGGACGGGUGAGUAAUGUCGGGGAAACUGCCUGAUGGAGGGGGAUAACUACGGGAAACGGUAGCUAAUACCGCAUACCAUCAGAUGUGCCCAGAUGGGAUUAGCUUGUUGGUGGGGUAACGGCUCACCAAGGCGACGAUCCCUAGCUGUUCUGAGAGGAUGACCAGCCACACUGGAACUGAGACACGGUCCAGACUCCUACGGGAGGCAGCAGUAGGGAAUAUUCCGCAAUGGGCGAAAGCCUGAUGGAGCCAUGCCGCGUGAAUGAUGAAGGCCUUCGGAUUGUAAAGCACUUUCAUCAGGGAAGCGGUACCCGAAGAGGAAGCACCGGCUAACUCCGUGCCAGCCGCCGCGGUAAUUC
rnacentral:rRNA from 1 species